rnacentral:rRNA from 1 species
AGUGAACGCUGGCGGUAGGCCUAACACAUGCAAGUCGAACGGCAGCACAGUAAGAGCUUGCUCUUACGGGUGGCGAGUGGCGGACGGGUGAGGAAUACAUCGGAAUCUACUUUUUCGUGGGGGAUAACGUAGGGAAACUUACGCUAAUACCGCAUACGACCUACGGGUGAAAGCAGGGGAUCUUCGGACCUUGCGCGAUUGAAUGAGCCGAUGUCGGAUUAGCUAGUUGGCGGGGUAAAGGCCCACCAAGGCGGCGAUCCGUAGCUGGUCUGAGAGGAUGAUCAGCCACACGGGAACUGAGACACGGUCCAGACUCCUACGGGAGGCAGCAGUGGGGAAUAUUGGACAAUGGGCGCAAGCCUGAUCCAGCCAUACCGCGUGGGUGAAGAAGGCCUUCGGGUUGUAAAGCCCUUUUGUUGGGAGAGAAAAGCAGCAGGUUAAUACCCCGCUGUUCUGACGGUACCCAAAGAAUAAGCACCGGCUAACUUCGUG